rnacentral:rRNA from 1 species
GCGCAGAAAGAUGAGCCGACGUCGGAUUAGCUAGUUGGAGGGGUAAUGGCCCACCAAGGCGACGAUCCGUAGCUGGUCUGAGAGGAUGAUCAGCCACACUGGGACUGAGACACGGCCCAG